rfam:Xanthomonas oryzae pv. oryzae KACC10331, complete genome.
AUGUACUACGCGACCACGGCGGCUCCUGAGCGCUGCCCGCGGCAGUUGGCGAUUGCGCGCUGCGUGUUGUCAGCU